CCGGCGCACGGGUGCGUAACGCGUAUGCAACCUACCUUGAUCAGGGGGAUAGCCCGGAGAAAUCCGGAUUAAUACCGCAUAAAACCACAGUCCUUCAUGGGACAAUGGUCAAACAUUCAUGGGAUCAGGAUGGGCAUGCGUGCCAUUAGCUAGUUGGCGGGGUAACGGCCCACCAAGGCGACGAUGGCUAGGGGAUCUGAGAGGAUGACCCCCCACACUGGUACUGAGACACGGACCAGACUCCUACGGGAGGCAGCAGUAAGGAAUAUUGGUCAAUGGGGGCAACCCUGAACCAGCCAUGCCGCGUGCAGGAAGACGGCCCUCCGGGUUGUAAACUGCUUUUGUACGGGAAUAAACCUGUGUAUGUAUACACAGCUGAAUGUACCGUAAGAAUAAGGAUCGGCUAACUCCGUGCCAGCAGCCGCGGUAAUACGGAGGAUCCAAGCGUUAUCCGGAUUUAUUGGGUUUAAAGGGUGCGUAGGCGGCCUGUUAAGUCAGGGGUGAAAGACGGUGGCUCAACCAUCGCAGUGCCCUUGAUACUGAUGGGCUUGAAUUGACUAGAGGUAGGCGGAAUGUGACAAGUAGCGGUGAAAUGCAUAGAUAUGUCACAGAACACCGAUUGCG
rnacentral:rRNA from 1 species